AGAUCCUUAACCCACUGAGCGAGGCCAGGGAUCGAACCUGCAUCCUCGAAGACACGAUGUUGGGUUCUUAACCUGCUGAGCCACAAUUGGAUCUCCCUCACAAGUGACUUUUAAAUAAAUGGUUUAUCUAGAAGUUUCUUAGAGAGGCUCCUUGGAAUUGGUGGAGCUGCAGGUGCAGACAGAAUUCUAAGGAGAAAAUGCCUGGUGUCCCCAUCUUCCCCUCGCCCCAGAGGGUGUCUGAUCCCUAAAUCACCUUUCACCACUGGACCUCCCCUGUUCCCAGCACCCUCCCUGACAGAAUCCAGGCUUUCUACACCACUCCUCUCUCCUUUUUUUCACAGUGGCGCUCUGGCGAAGCCUUGCAAAGAAGAUCGUUAUAUUAGAGUCAAAACAUCACAGGAGGCAGUCUAUAAUCAUGAAAACCCAGAAAUAAUCUCACCGCCCAACAAGAGGGGAUCUAUUCGGUUAUUUAUGACAUACGUUGAAGCAGCCAUUACAAAUGCGAUUAAAGAAAAAGGAGAAAGGAAACUAUGUAUGAUAUUUUUCCGGAGAAAAAUAAAGCAGAUUUCAAGUACUUUAUCCCGGGCUUUGUCAUUUCUCACCUGGGUGACUGCUGCAGCCGCCUCUCUGGUCACCUUGCUCUGUUCUCACCUAUACCUGCUGACUGCACAUGCUGAAGCCACUGAAGCCAGAACGAUCUCUCCACCACGCGGACCUGGCUGUGUCACUCCCAACCCGAAACCCUCCACUAGUUAUUCAGCACCCGGCAUAGUCCAUGCUCUCACAGGAC
rnacentral:lncRNA from 1 species